rnacentral:lncRNA from 1 species
UUUUUUUUAAUAUUUAUUUUUUAGUUUUCGGCGGACACAACAUCUUUGUUUGUAUGUGGUGCUGAGGAUCGAACCCGGGCCGCACGGAUGCCAGGCGAGGGCGCUACCGCUUGAGCCACAUCCCCAGCCCCAACACCUCAGUUUUAACAGUAGAGUCAUGACAAAAAUUUAUAAAUAUGAAAAUAAAUAUAAUAUUUGUAAACAUUAAAUGUUCCUAGCUAAACUUUUCAUUUUCCAGAAAAACUUCUCAUCUCGUGUAGUUUCUGUUUUAAUAACCAUCUUUGCAAACAUCCACCUCAAAAAAGUUGAAGUCUUAGCAGUCAUAGCUAACAUGUAUUAUGUGCUUCAAUAUGCCAGGCGCUAUGCUUUCUUUUUUUUUAAUCUCCUUUAAUCUCACAGGAGUUUCUGGGGGAAAAAAAAUGACUUGAACACAUUUUCCUGACCUCUACCUUCCCCCACUCCUAUUCCUUACUGGAGCAAAAUUCAAGGACAAAAAGCAACUAACAAAAACCUCUGGAGUUAAUCUGUUCUUCUGAGGACAACUGUGAGUUUUCCAGAGGAGAAAAUGGUGUGCGACAUGUGAAGUCUGUUGGCUGGGAAAGCUGAUUCCUGUCUCAGAAGAAAAGGGAUCUACACAGGUAGAUGCAGUCAUUCUCUUUCCAGGUGUCUGCGGGGGAGGAAGUGUUUCUCUCAUACUUGGACAGUCUGAG